rnacentral:lncRNA from 1 species
AAUUCAAAAAAAAAAAAAAAAAAAAAAAAAAAAACAAAAAAAAAAGAAAACACAUUUGAAUAACCAGAAAGUUGAACUUCAACGAGAGGGGUUGCUCAAAUGGUAAGCGUCCUCUACCUCCAACCCUGAAAUAUUGUGUUCGAGUACUUCUAGUAAAACUAUUUUAAUAUACACAACUAUAUUUCUGCACACAAAAAAUUACAAUAAAAAUUCAAAUUUUUUUUUCUCAUUAUGGCUCUAAAUGAAUUGGUAAAACUACAUUUCUUGAUCCCCUUACAUGUCCAAAUGAAAAAAAUGAUCUUUUUACUCUACUACAACUACUUUCAAAGGGACUAAUAUCAGUAACUUGCCUUUGUUGCUGCAUUAUAAUCUCCUGAAUUGCUACGUAAAGUUGUCGAUCCGUCGCUGAAUCCAUUGAAAAUGAUCUUCUUAUAGGCUGAAUUGAUGCAAAUUCAUCAUCUGUUUUCCUCAUGUUAAUGCAUUCAUCUCCCAUGCUUGUUACAUGAUUGAACUUUUUGCAUUUUCUUGAUGCAACUUUUUUUUCUAUUUCCCCUGAAUUCAAACUUUCUUGAUCAGGUCGGCCUGAUGUACUAAAACUCUCGCUAUUGUUUGCUAUUUCUAUGACGACAUAAUCUUCAUCUCUAAAAUUUUCAAGAUUUGGAUCUUGAUGAGGUGUUGAACUUGGAG